GCCAGGUGUGGUGGCAUGCACCUGUAGUCCUAGCUACUUGGGAGGCUAAGGCAGGAGAAUCACUUGAGCCCCAGAGUUCUGGGCUGUAGUGCACCAUGUCAAUCUGGUAUCUGUACUAAAUUUCAUGGCAAUAUAGUUACCUCCCAGGAGUGAUGGACACUCAGGUUGCCUAAGGAGGGGUGAACUGGCCCAGGUAGGAAAUACAGAAGGUCAAAACUCCAGUGCUGAUCAGUGGUGGAAUUACACCUGUGAAUAGCCACUGUGAAUAGCCAACUUGAGCAACAUAGCAAGACCCUGUCUCU
rnacentral:SRP_RNA from 1 species